CCAGUGGCCGCCGUGUCCGGUGUAGACGGCGUGGCUGCUGUGCUGCUGCUGGUAGUACCCGCCAUGGCCGGCUGCGACAGCCAAUGAGUUACACAGCAGCAUUAGCUCAUUAACAGCACACAUAAGCAACCAAGCAUCUCCUGGUGCAAACUGAUACUAGUGCAGAUUUUUAGUAGAACCACGACGGCUUGGUUUAAGCACCUACCUUGGAUAUCCUUCAUGACGUCAAGGCAGAUGCUAGAGGCCACAGGGUAGAGCGUGUCUUCGAGGUAGAAAAAAGGACACAAAGCACAUCAUGUAUUAGACGUACAACACCACGCGAGAUGGUGUGAGAUUGAAAUGAGAGGGAGGGACACCAUGCGUAGACGAUUGGUAUAACUGAACCACACUCUCCACAUCGGUGUCUGCAUUUCUUGUCACCAUAGAAACAGCACUGUACACCC
rnacentral:lncRNA from 1 species